GUGAAUUUUAUGGCUGAAAAAAAAAUACUUGUAGUCCCACACCCUCCCUAUUCACCUGAUCUAGCCCCGUGCGAUUUUUUUCCUUUCCCGAGAAUAAAAUCUGCGCUUAAAGGACAACGAUUUCAAGACUUAGAGGAAAUUAAAGCAAAUAUGGCAACAGAAUUCAAAGCUAUAACUUUAAAACAAUUUCAAAGGACUUUCGAAAACUGGCAAGAUCGCUGGAACCACUGCAUAUUGUCUGGAGGAGAGUAUUUUGAAGGCGAUAUCUUUAAAUAAUAUGUAACUUCAUUUUUGUAAUUAUCAAAAAGAAAAUCCUGGUACUUUUUGAACAGACCUUGUACAUAAAAUGGU